ACGGGGUAGUAAUGUGUCGGAACGUGCCCAGAGGACGGGGAUAGCGGCGGGAAACUGCCGGUAAUACCCGAUGAUCUCGAGAGAGCAAAGGUGUGAUUCCGCCUUUGGAGCGGCCGACAUGGUAUUAGCUAGUUGGCGGGGUAACGGCCCACCAAGGCUGUGAUGCCUAGGGGAUGUGAGAGCAUGAUCCCCACCAUUGGGACUGAGACACUGCCCAGACACCUACGGGUGGCUGCAGUCGAGAAUCUUCGUCAAUGGGCGAAAGCCUGAACGAGCGACGCCGCGUGCGGGAUGAAGGCCCUUGGGUUGUAAACCGCUGUCGAGGGGGAUGAAGGCUGGAAGGUACUCCUUCCAGUUUGACAGAGCCCUGGAGGAAGCACGGGCUAAGUUCGUGCCAGCAGCCGCGGUAAUACGAACUGUGCGAACGUUAUUCGGAAUCACUGGGCUUACAGGGUGCGUAGGCGGCUAUUCAGGUCAGGUGUGAAAGCCCUCGGCUCAACCGAGGAACUGCGCUUGAAACCGGAUGGCUCGAGUCAACUAGAGGUGCACGGAACUUCCAGUGGAGCGGUGAAAUGUGUUGA
rnacentral:rRNA from 1 species